ACUCCUACGGGAGGCAGCAGUGGGGAAUAUUGGACAAUGGGCGCAAGCCUGAUCCAGCCAUACCGCGUGUGUGAAGAAGGCCUUAGGGUUGUAAAGCACUUUCAGAAGGGAGGAAAGGUUGAUGUUUAAUACGCAUUANGCUGUGACGUUACCUUCAGAAGAAGCACCGGCUAACUCUGUGCCAGCAGCCGCGGUAAU
rnacentral:rRNA from 1 species